rnacentral:misc_RNA from 1 species
CAGUGUUGAGGCUUCAGAUCAAGGGGCUGUCUGCAAUUUCUAGUUAGAUAUACACCUUUUGUUGAAGACUUCAGAUCAGAGUAACCUCGCAAAAUUUUAUUUCGGCUUUUGCAAAUCAAGAAUAAUUGGUUGUAAGUACAAACAGAAUCAAAUUGUCGCAUCCGAAGUCGGUGGUGUUCAACAUAGAGCCCGGCGUCCAGUGAAGAUACCAAUUCCAAUAACGUUGUGCAAGUUGUAACUAUUAUGUCGUGCACGAUUAGUUCUUCUAGAAUGUUUAAUCGGCUUGUAAAAAGGGCAUGUAACACAAGUAUACCGGCACUUAAACAUAUGCGCUGGCUAUCCAGUAACCCUGGUGUUAUGCAAUGCUGGUCCCUUGACCAAUAUGGCGGGAAUGAAGUCUUGCAACUGAACACUGUAGAAAUGCCUUCUGUUCAAAGUUCUGCUGAUAUUCUAGUGAAAGUACACGCUGCUUCAGUAAAUCCAUUUGAUAUACGAAUGAGGAACGGUUACGGAUCAAAGCUAUUAAAUUUAUGGCGUAAAACUAAAGGAGCUAGCGAAUUCCCUCUUGUUUUGGGGAGAGAUUUUUCUGGCGUUGUGGUUAAAACUGGAAAGUUGGUACGCAGGUUUAGGCCUGGAGAUGAGGUUUGGGGGUCACCUACUGUACCCAAUGGAGGAACUCACACUCAGUAUUUGGUUGCUCGCCAAGAUGAGAUUUCUCAUAAGCCUGGUUGUUUAAGUCAUGUAGAAGCUGCUUCUCUACCUUAUGUUGCAUGUACUGUAUGGGUUGCUUUAGUAAGCAGAGCGGGACUAAAACCUGAUAAUUGUUUUGAAAAAAGGAUACUGGUUUAUGGUGGAUCUGGUGGUAUCGGAACAUUGGCAAUUCAGCUCUUAAAGGCCUGGGGUGCNCAUGUUACCACGACCUGUAGUACUGGUGCUAUUGACCUUGUCAAGUCAUUGGGUGCAGAUCACAUUGUCGACUAUAAAAUCAAUGAUGUAGAACAAGAACUAAGGGAGCUUCCAGGGUUUGAUGUCAUUUUAGAUCCAUUUGGCUACCAGAAUCAAAAGAUGGCAACGAAUCUUUUAUCCUUCUGUACAGGGGCAGUUUAUGUCAACCUAGCUCCGCCAUUAUUGAACGAAAUUGAUCGCUUAGGGCUUGGCAAAGGAGUUAUUUCGUCUGGUCAAUCUCUUGUCUCCUCGUUCGCCAAAAAGGAAACUUGAGUGCCUCAUUGACAUAACUUAACCAUGGGUUGGCUAUUCAAAGCUACCGUUUUGGGUGCCACUGCAGUCGUCGCAGGGGUUACUGGAUAUAUGGCAUGGAAAUACUUCACUAAGCCGUCUGAUCCCGAAAUUGAUUCAUCAGAUGAUGAAAGCUGGGACGAAGGAUGCGCCAAAGGUGAAAGUCAACGCCAGCCACCAGCAGCCCAGGCGUCUACAUCCUCAGCUCCUCCACCGCCUAAGGAAGCGGAGAAGCCACCAAAUAAGACUGGGGAAAAGCCAGUGACAAAGCCAGCGGUAGCAAAGAAGCCAGCUGACAAAACAGCCAAGCAGACGUACUGCGGCUUUAAGAAGGGAUUCCUUCUCUAGAGGAAAAAUUCUCGUUUAAACGGUAACAGAAAACUAUGCACGGCGGACACUACAAAAAUUACCAAAAAAAAUCAAAAAAACUCGCAUAAAAAUUACCAAAAGAAAAGAUAAACCAGAAAAAGUAUUUACAAAAUCACAAAAAUAAGAAAAUGCAUAAAAAAGACAAAUUGAGUGAACGAGAGAAUGACAAAUGGGAGUCUAGNUAUUAAAUUAAUAAUUGAAUUUAGGCAUUUAGGUUUUUAAUUUGAAAGAAUAGUGAGAAUAAUGUAGUGUCGAUCAUCCAAAAAAUCAGUGUCUGCCAAUUGCAUGUCGGUUUUUUGUGCCGUUUUUUUUGUAAAUAGUCUUCAUUUUCUACUCAGUAUAUAAACAAAAUCUGGAACUGUAAUUAUUGUAAACCUCAACUCUUUUUUCUAUACAUGUAACAAUAUCUGAACCCUGUGAAAUAUAUAAAAACUCUUGAUUUGUAAUAAAACAACUUAUAAAGAAAUACAGUCUCAUUUCAAUUUAGUUAUUGAAAGGGAGCGAAAAGAUAAAUGAACAAACGAGAAUAAUUUUCUCUUCAGAUCGAUGAACUCUCGUGCAUUCAAACAAAGAGCUGCCGCAUUAUAUAAACAGACAUUCCCUCGCGUGUUGCGGAAUGAAAGCGUGAACGACUAGUUUGUCCAGAAUGUACUUUUGAACGUUUUUCUUUUGGACGAAAAUAGUGCUGAAAUAUAAUAAUAUUGCUGAAGAAGAGAAAACUUUGAAGGAAAGUAGCACUAAACUAUAGAGUGUGCUGUGUCGACGUUUCUAAAGAAACUGUUGGUAAAAAGAUAAAUUUGAAACGGUAAAAAAUAGGUAAAACAACUUAACGUUUCGGACGCCUUCGUCGAAGCAAAGAGAAACGUGAGUAAAGUUGUUUUACAGUUUUACGGUGUCAAAUUUAUCUUUUUACACAACUGUUACUUUGAAGACAGACUGAUCAUCUUAUGGAUUCAGUUAGUUCAAGUUGUCUUUAUCUCAGAGCUUUUUUAAAAGUAUCAACAUNUUGCAGAGACAUGAGUCGUAUUUCAAUAUGGCUGCCGCAUAUGAUUCUUUGCCACUUUGGACGCAUAUUCAUUUGCAAAUAAAGUCUGUUUGUUUAUCAGUGACAAGACUUUUUCUUUUAACUCUAAACUUCACAUAUGUAUGUUUGAAUACUUCUAAAGGAUAUGUGUGUUGUCAUUUUCAGUACGAUUAAUAUUUGAGCAUCUGGAAAUUGCGCGAGAGGAGGUAUUUUUUCCUACUUAUCAAGUGAUUGCAAACAAGAAUGCAGUUGCCCUAAAAUAAACCAUUGCUGAACAUCUCUUUUUAUUUAGGAGCCAGGCUGNAAUAAGAAUAGGAUUUUACCAUAUAAUCAGUCCUUUUAUUAUUGAUCUAGUAGAAGGUUUCUGAGUAUUUCAAACAUCUAAAAUCUCAGUUGCGCAAAACUUCAUAUUUGGAGACAUUAUAAAUCACACACAUUUUGACAAAACUUUAGGAAAACAAAGCAAG